UGUUAAAAAAUUUCAUCCAUUUAUAUUGUUAAAACCUGGCGUGGUUGACGGAAUAACCAAAAAGUGACACUUGGUGUGCCCAUCGUACCUUAUGUUGAUGUAUAGAGACCAGUUUUUAACAAUAGAAAUGAAUGAAAAUUUUAAUA
rfam:Gossypium hirsutum cultivar TM-1 chromosome 24, whole genome shotgun sequence